ensembl:lncRNA
AUGCAAAGAAUCACUCUACAAAUGACAGAACAAGGGGCUCGUGGAUUUCCGGGAGCUCGGCCUGCUGGGGCCCUGUCAGACAGCUAUUUACCAGCAAAUAGAUGUGGUGCCAUCUUCUACUGUUGCCAUACACUCACUUGCACACAGAAAAAGGGAUUUUUGUGGCAGGUGGUGCUGUUGCUGCCUGAACCGUUCCCUGCAGGUAGUCUCUGGUGCGAGUUGACGCUGUGCUUCACGCUCCCCGAGCUCUCCAAAGCACCCCAGGUUUCUGGGGCUGCCUCAGCAGCUCGCAGCCAUCAGGUGAUGGGUUUCCCACCUCGGGCUCCACACAGACUGCGGUACUCAGCUGCGUGUGUUCACUGCCACCUGCAACACUGUGCCUGGCCACCACGGCACUGUCCGCCGUGUCCCUUGCACCCAGGCGGGGGAAGAAUGGCAGCGAACAGUGAGCAGCAGGGAAGAGGCAGACCGGGAGCUGCUUCCCUUCCUGUCUCAAAGUACACGUGCAAUCCACGACAUUCAAAAGCAGCAAACACAAUGCUAAUGUAAGGAAGGCUCACCAGUGCCUCGGGCUGCCACCAGCACCUGAGGGCAUCCAUGUGUGGGGUGCCUGACCCCAGGGCACCCUGCGUGCUCCUNNNNNNNNNNNNNNNNNNNNGAAGGAGGGCUCGGGCCUGCUGCUGCCCCUGCGGGCCCGAGGCAGAGAGGGGUGAGCUCUGCUUCGCAGCUUUGCACACCGGUGGACAAGAAGCAAAAUCCAUGCUCCUGGUCACACGUGCUGUGUUUCUUCUCAACCUAGGUGGUGCUGUUGCUGCCUGAACCGUUCCCUGCAGGUAGUCUCUGGUGCGAGUUGAUGCUGUGCUUCACGCUCCCCGAGCUCUCCAAAGCACCCCAGGUUUCUGGGGCUGCCUCAGCAGCUCGCAGCCAUCAGGUGAUGGGUUUCCCACCUCGGGCUCCACACAGACUGUGGUACUCAGCUGCGUGUGUUCACUGCCACCUGCAACACUGUGCCUGGCCACCACGGCACUGUCCGCCGUGUCCCUUGCACCCAGGCGGAGGAAGAAUGGCAGCGAACAGUGAGCAGCAGGGAAGAGGCAGACCGGGAGCUGCUUCCCUUCCUGUCUCAAAGCACACGUGCAAUCCAUGACAUUCAAAAGCAGCAAACACAAAGCUAAUGUAAGGAAGGCUCACCAGUGCUUCUGGCUGCCACCAGCACCUGAGGGCACCCAUGUGUGGGGUGCCUGACCCCGGGGCACCCUGCGUGCUCCANNNNNNNNNNNNNNNNNNNNAAAUCCAUGCUCCUGGUCACACGUGCUGUGUUUCUUCUCAACCUAGGUGGUGCUGUUGCUGCCUGAACCGUUCCCUGCAGGUAGUCUCUGGUGCGAGUUGAUGCUGUGCUUCACGCUCCCCGAGCUCUCCAAAGCACCCCAGGUUUCUGGGGCUGCCUCAGCAGCUCGCAGCCAUCAGGUGAUGGGUUUCCCACCUCGGGCUCCACACAGACUGCGGUACUCAGCUGCGUGUGUUCACUGCCACCUGCAACACUGUGCCU